rnacentral:tRNA from 1 species
GGGGGAUUAGCUCAGCUGGUAGAGCAGCGGACUCUUAAUCCGUUUGUCGCGAGUUCAACCCUCGCAUCCCCCACCA